CCGGCGCGACGGUGAGUAACGCGUAUGCAACUUACCUAUCAGGAGGGGAUAACCCGGCGAAAGUCGGACUAAUACCGCAUAAAGCAGGGAUCCCGCAUGGGAAUAUUUGCUAAAGAUUCAUCGCUGAUAGAUAGGCAUGCGUUCCAUUAGGCAGUUGGCGGGGUAACGGCCCACCAAACCGACGAUGGAUAGGGGUUCUGAGAGGAAGGUCCCCCACAUUGGAACUGAGACACGGUCCAA
rnacentral:rRNA from 1 species